CUUUAAAGCUCAAAUCCUCUCUCUCUCUCUCUCUACCCAAGCUCCGGUCCAACGAUUAGUACGAUGAGGACAGCGAUGAAGAGGGCGUGCUGUAGAAAUCCAAGGGUGUGGAGGAGAAGAAGUCAAGUUGAAGAAGCCGGAGCUCUGUUUCUCUACCGUCGCUUCGCAUCCGGAGCAGGACGUCAUUUGGAUUUGAAAUCAAUUUCGAGCUUGGAAAAUGUUGAAAAUGGAGCGGUCGUUCCCGAGAGCGUCGUCCACUUAUAGACCUCGAGAGUGUCAAUGGCGAAGAGCGACGCAUCGUUGGGAUCAGUGGAUGAGUUCUUGAAGCAGUGCCACUGUGCCAGCAAUCCGACGAGCCUUCAAUGGUCGACGUCUCCAGUGAUCGGAGCCAAACGCGCACAUGAGGCUCUACAUGAUCUCCUUACCAACGGGUACUACACGACGCGGUUGUGGAUUGGAACACUGCCUCAGAUGUUCGCUCUGAUUGUGGAUACGGGAAGUACUAGUCACUUAUGUGCCUUGCUCUAACUGUGAAGCAUGCGAUAACCAUCAGGACCCCAGGUUUCAACCAGAUUGAUCCAGCACGUACCAACCUGUAAAGUGUAAUAUCAAUUGCAACUGUGACGAUAAAGGAAAUCAAUGCAGUUAUGAGAGGCGCUAUGCUGAGCAGAGCUCCAGCAGUGGUGUGCUUGCCAACGUACCGAUGGCAUAAUGGGUUUGGGUCGUGUUUAGCUUA
rnacentral:lncRNA from 1 species